AUCGAGUUAGUGCUAGCAUAGAAUCUAACAAGAAAUGGCCCUGCAUCCAUUCUCUUUUCUUCUAAUAACAGCCCCAGAUUUCCAUUUUUGGACCUACCUUUUCCUUUUUAUCAGGCUAAGUGUUCAUGGUGGGGCUCUGUCCUUAGUUCCAGGGAUAAAGCCUGUGACCCAAACUUAAACCGCAGAUCAUUUUCCCCAGGCCAUGGAGAUUGUUUCAAAUGUGGGCACAUGGCCUGAAUGGGUCAUAUCAGAGUAAAUCUUAGGGCUUCUGGGUUAUGCCACCAUCACAGGCUCUUGCUUUCCUCACUGAACUUGAACCUAGACGGAUGUAAGCUGGAGCUGUGGCAGCCAUCAUUGCCCUGUGAAAAGUCCACUUGGAGCUGCCAAAGACCACCCCAGGAGCUUCAGAAUGAAGACAACCUGGAAGUCAGAGCUGACAGAAAUAAGGUGAAGUUAGCUUGAGGAAAGAGCUGUAAGGAAGAGUGAAGUCAGCUGAGUCAAGGACACAAGCGGAAAAUGUGCAAAGAUGAGCCAGAAGCAUGGAAAAGUACCUCCAAGACAGAGGAGAACUGAUCCAAGAGAAAGGAGAUGGGAGUGGGCAUCACGUACAGCCAGAGGGCGCCACCUGCCGGAUAGUUUCAGAUGGAAACACCCAAAGUAGCAACACUGACUGCCUCUAGGGGGGGAAACCGAGCAUCUAGAAGG
rnacentral:lncRNA from 1 species